rnacentral:rRNA from 1 species
AUUGAACGCUGGCGGAAGGCCUAACACAUGCAAGUCGAGCGGAGCGGCGGACGGGAGAGUAAUGCCUAGGAAUCUGUCUGUUAGUGGGGGAUCACGUCCGGAAACGGGCGCUAAUACCGCAUACUAUCAGACGAGCCUAGGUCGGAUUAGCUAGUUGGUGGGGUAACGGCCUACAAAGGCGACGAUCCGUAACUGGUCUGAGAGGAUGAUCAGUCACACUGGAACUUAAGCACGGUCCAGAGUCCUACGGGAGGCAGCCAUGGGGAAUAUUGGACAAUGGGCGAAAUCCUGAUCCAGCCAUGCCGCGUGUGUUAAGAAGGUCUUCGGAUUGUAAAGCACUUUAAGUUGGGAGGCGUUACCAACAGAAUAAGCACCGGCUAACUUCGUGCCAGCAGCCGCGGUAAUUC